AGCGAACGCUGGCGGCAGGCCUAACACAUGCAAGUCGAACGAACUCUUCGGAGUUAGUGGCGGACGGGUGAGUAACACGUGGGAACGUGCCUUUAGGUUCGGAAUAACUCAGGGAAACUUGAGCUAAUACCGGAUGUGCCCUUCGGGGGAAAGAUUUAUCGCCUUUAGAGCGGCCCGCGUCUGAUUAGCUAGUUGGUGAGGUAAAGGCUCACCAAGGCGACGAUCAGUAGCUGGUCUGAGAGGAUGAUCAGCCACAUUGGGACUGAGACACGGCCCAAACUCCGACGGGAGGCAGCAGUGGGGAAUCUUGCGCAAUGGGCGAAAGCCUGACGCAGCCAUGCCGCGUGAAUGAUGAAGGUCUUAGGAUUGUAAAAUUCUUUCACCGGGGACGAUAAUGACGGUACCCGGAGAAGAAGCCCCGGCUAACUUCGUG
rnacentral:rRNA from 1 species